rnacentral:lncRNA from 12 species
AUGAGCUUGGCCACAGUUACUGGGUGCAAUACAGAGAAGGUGUGCGGAUCUGGUACCUGGAACAAUUUUCUUUAUAACUUGGAGUCCUACAACUCUUCAUGCAUGAGCUUGGCCACAGUUACUGGGUGCAAUACAGAGAAGGUGUGCGGAUCUGGUACCUGGAACAAUUUUCUUUAUAACUUGGAGUCCCAGCUCCUUGAGCUGAAGCUUUCAGCACAUCUCAGGAUUUCUGAGAAAGUCAAACUACUCCAAUUGGUAAAACCACAGUGCACACAACACCCCAGGGCAGCCAAUUUACAGAGACAGCAAUGUGCAGCUCUGGCAGCCAGAACCUACUGAUGCAACUUGGAACUGCAUCUUUGUGGAGCUGAGCUGCCAAGGCUUGGAGAGCACUUGGUUCCAUGCACCAAAAGACCUUCACCCCAUGGACAGAGUGGCAGAACUUGUGUGGGCAGCAGCUUCUGAGCCUAAGGUAUGUUUUAAAUAGUAGUGGGGGAGGGAAACAAUGA